rnacentral:lncRNA from 1 species
GCUCGCUGGAGGUUACGUUCCUACCACUCACGCCAUCACCCACUAUAGCACAUCAGAAAACACAACGACACAGCCCAGUGCGCGCGGUCCGGGAACUAAGCGCCACGUGAAGAAUGCGAGUAGAGCUCCAGCACUCGCGGGACCAGGCCUCGCCCUGCCGCUUCAGCCCGUGAUCGCCCGGGACGAGCCGGGACCGGCCAGAGGGAGAAGGAACCAGUGAUGGGCGCGAGCCGCGUUUCUCAGCGGCGAUACCCGCACACUCACCAGGGUCGAGCCACAGGACCACUGUGUGCUGUGCAAUCAAGACCCAAACUAGAAGAAGGGUCUGUUUUACUGCUCUUGGAAGGCCACGUCUAAAAUUAAACCACGUUCAGGGGAAACUGUGCACCCAAAUAUUUCUCAGUCGCACCCCAGCCUCACAAACCUAUUCUAGGGCUGGAAAAGCUGGCUCAGCCGUUAUAAGCCCUGGCUGCACUACCAGAGGACCCAGCCUCAAUUUCCAGCACCCACAUGGCAGCUCAUAACUGUGUAGAUCCAGUUCUAGAGGAUCCAACACCCUCACACAUACAUGCAAGCAAAACACCAAUGCACAGAAAAUGAAAAGAAAUAAAUCGUUAAGAACAA